rnacentral:rRNA from 1 species
GACGAACGCUGGCGGCGUGCUUAACACAUGCAAGUCGAACGGAAAGGCCCUGCUUUUGUGGGGUGCUCGAGUGGCGAACGGGUGAGUAACACGUGAGUAACCUGCCCUUGACUUUGGGAUAACUUCAGGAAACUGGGGCUAAUACCGGAUAGGAGCUCCUGCUGCAUGGGGGGCGUUGGAAAGUUUCGGCGGUUGGGGAUGGACUCGCGGCUUAUCAGCUUGUUGGUGGGGUAGUGGCUUACCAAGGCUUUGACGGGUAGCCGGCCUGGGAGGGUGACCGGCCACAUUGGGACUGAGAUACGGACCAGACUCCUACGGGAGGCAGCAGUGGGGAAUAUGGCACAAUGGGCGGAAGCCUGAUGCAGAAACGCCGCGUGCGGGAUGACGGCCUUCGGGUUGUAAACCGCUUUCGCCUGUGACGAAGCGUGAGUGACGGUAAUGGGUAAAGAAGCACCGGCUAACUACGUG